UGCCAGCCGCCGCGGUAAUACGAAGGGAGCUAGCGUUGUUCGGAAUCACUGGGCGUAAAGCGUGCGUAGGCGGAUCGACAAGUUGGGGGUGAAAUCCCGGGGCUUAACCCCGGAAGUGCAUUGGAAACUGGCGAACUUGAGUACGGGAGAGGAAAGUGGAAUUCCGAGUGUAGGGGUGAAAUCCGUAGAUAUUCGGAGGAACACCAGUGGCGAAGGCGGCUUUCUGGGCCGAUACUGACGCUGAGACGCGAAAGCGUGGGGAGCAAACAGGAUUAGAUUA
rnacentral:rRNA from 1 species